rnacentral:lncRNA from 1 species
GCCGGCGGGAGCUGUGCGGAUGAAAGGGGAGCAGAGGGGCGCGAAGAGGACCCGGGCAGAGAUGUCUCCACCACACCGCUGGAGUGACCGCGCCCUCCUCCCGCCUUUCUCUGCCUGCUGCGUGCGCAGGUGCAUGUGUGUGCACACACACACACAGGGACAUCCCAGAUCACAGGAGUCACCCCAGCGCCCAGGGAUUCACACCCUCCCAGUCCACCCUUCACCAGGGACUGACCCCAGGAGGGAUGAAAGGCAAGCUCCUCUGCUGGGGGUCAGGGCAAGUUCAAAGGUCACACAGCCCUCACAUCGCCCCCCGAGAUCACGGGUGUCUCAACAUUGCUCUGGCCUCCGCUUCCUCCUCCAUCAAAGGGGACAGUAGCCCCUCCCUCAUGGUCUGCAAGUCAGACCAGGGGUCAGAACCCUCUGCAGGAGAUGAAAGCGCUGCUCAAAUGUCAUAAAGACCCAGAGGACUCCCCUGACUCAAAUGCGGGGCCCGGUGAGCAAAGCUGAGUCCGGCAUCUCACCCU